rnacentral:rRNA from 1 species
AGAGUUUGAUCCUGGCUCAGGACGAACGCUGGCGGCGUGCCUAAUACAUGCAAGUAGAACGCUGAAGAGAGGAGCUUGCUCUUCUUGGAUGAGUUGCGAACGGGUGAGUAACGCGUAGGUAACCUGCCUUGUAGCGGGGGAUAACUAUUGGAAACGAUAGCUAAUACCGCAUAACAAUGGAUGACACAUGUCAUUUAUUUGAAAGGGGCAAUUGCUCCACUACAAGAUGGACCUGCGUUGUAUUAGCUAGUAGGUGAGGUAACGGCUCACCUAGGCGACGAUACAUAGCCGACCUGAGAGGGUGAUCGGCCACACUGGGACUGAGACACGGCCCAGACUCCUACGGGAGGCAGCAGUAGGGAAUUUUCGGCAAUGGGGGAAACCCUGACCGAGCAACGCCGCGUGAGCGAAGAAGGCCUUCGGGUCGUAAAGCUCUGUUGUAAAGGAAGAACGGCGCAUACAGGAAAUGGUAUGCGAGUGACGGUACUUUACCAGAAAGCCACGGCUAACUACGUGCCAGCAGCCGCGGUAAUACGUAGGUGGCGAGCGUUAUCCGGAAUGAUUGGGCGUAAAGGGUGCGUAGGUGGCAGAUCAAGUCUGGAGUAAAAGGUAUGGGCUCAACCCGUACUUGCUCUGGAAACUGAUCAGCUAGAGAACAGAAGAGGACGGCGGAACUCCAUGUGUAGCGGUAAAAUGCGUAGAUAUAUGGAAGAACACCGGUGGCGAAGGCGGCCGUCUGGUCUGGAUUCUGACACUGAAGCACGAAAGCGUGGGGAGCAAAUAGGAUUAGAUACCCUAGUAGUCCACGCCGUAAACGAUGAGAACUAGGUGUUGGGGGAAUAACUCAGUGCCGCAGUUAACGCAAUAAGUUCUCCGCCUGGGGAGUAUGCACGCAAGUGUGAAACUCAAAGGAAUUGACGGGGGCCCGCACAAGCGGUGGAGUAUGUGGUUUAAUUCGAAGCAACGCGAAGAACCUUACCAGGCCUUGACAUCCCUUGCAGAGGUAUAGAGAUAUAUCCGAGGUUAUCAAGGAGACAGGUGGUGCAUGGUUGUCGUCAGCUCGUGUCGUGAGAUGUUGGGUU